GGUUGUAGCUUUGUGUCACAGCACCUGCCUGGCAAGCACAAGGUCCUGAGUUCAAUUCCCAGCAACC
rnacentral:tRNA from 1 species